rnacentral:rRNA from 1 species
UACGUAGGGCGCAAGCGUUGUCCGGAAUUAUUGGGCGUAAAGAGCGUGUAGGCGGCUCGGUAAGUCCGCUGUGAAAGUCCAGGGCUCAACCCUGGAAUGCCAGUGGAAACUGUCGAGCUAGAGUCCGGAAGAGGCGAGUGGAAUUCCUGGUGUAGCGGUGAAAUGCGCAGAUAUCAGGAGGAACACCAAUGGCGAAGGCAGCUCGCUGGGACGGUACUGACGCUGAGACGCGAAAGCGUGGGGAGCAAACAGG